GCAUUGCAGCAUCCUGGAGUCCUCUCGCCAAGUUUCCAUUGCAUCACUUUGCUGGUUGAAUGGGAAGGGUCAGGAUAAUCCAACGUCUCUGCCUCCUUCCUUCUUCUAUCCUGCCAAUCCCUACACCAGGGAACACUUAACCCAUACCUGCAGGCAUCCCAGGUUCUAAGAGAGACUCCUAAGCAGGAGAUAUACAGGUAUUUUGUACCGCUGUGCAGUGGGGAAAAAACCAAGGACUUGAUUCCAGAAGACCUGGGUUUGAAUCUGGACUCUUACUGGAAAGUCAGAAGAUUUAGACCUGAAAGGGGACAAAGCACAAGGUGUCACCCUCUGACUAUUGAACAGGGGAUUCGGACAUUGUCUGUGGUCCUAGAAACCCUCCUUACCAACUGUGACACCUUGGGCGUGUGCAAGAUUAAAAGAAAAAACAACAACAACAGCAACUUAUUACUACUUGCAGGCCACAAUCCUUAUUUGGUCUUUGGAAAAGGAAAACUUUCUGCUGAUUCAUAGAACUCAUCUAGCACUGGGC
rnacentral:lncRNA from 1 species